GAGAUAUUUGGGAGGCGUCUAGUCUAUGGGAAACUGAUUAGAAGAGCCGUAAUCCAUGGGUGUUUCUGACUAGGAAGAGUGAUAAGAGCAGAACAUUCUAGGCCCACAGGCAUACACUGUAAAUGUAUCAGGCCCGAGCAAGGCCCUGGGGAUGUGUGGAUACCACUUAAUUCCACUCACCAUUCUCUCGGGGUCUGAGGGAAAUCAGAUAGCUUAAAUAAGAGUGUUAUAGUUGCAGCAGCAAAUAAUUUAUAAAGGGAAUGCGAUAGAGUUCCUAGUUACCUUUGUUUGUCUUCGUAAAGUCAGUGAUUAUCAUUGCAUUGAAAAUGAAGGUGAUUAUGAAACCUUUAAAACAUCCUCAGUGUGACCAUAGAAGAAAUCUUGACCAUUUCUCCUAAAAACCACAAGCCCAAGGCAGUUACUUCUUAGCUCUUUUUUUUUCACUCAGUUAUGUAAACGUCCAUUUGUGGGAACACCAGAGUUGAUGUCGUAAUCUCAUUUUAAAGAGUGCCGAGCUGGGGCCUGCUCUCGUGUGCGUGGAAGGAGAAUCCGUGGGCAGCUCUCGUCUGCAUGGUUCCCAAGUGCAGGCGUGUCAUUAAAGCAGGAUGGGGCUGACUCUCAGUCCCCGCUCACUCCCUUUAUGUCAGCGCAGAAUCCAAAAGGAACUUGAAGCUCUGCGCCUUCUGGUGAUGUGGACCAGGAGGAGGGGAAGGGAGCAUCAGGAAGAUUCAGCCAACCUGUAGUGGGAGCUGUGGAGCCGCUACAUGGACGGGGACUGGAGAGGCAGUCUGGGAGCUGUUAGAGGACUUCUCUAGGAGCUAUGUCUAUGUAGCAAGCAACUUUAUAAUGUUUAUUUAGGAUGAUGAGGGUGUUGGCUCAAAACCCCAGACCACCCCUCCGUGCUACCGCUGUAAGCUACUAAGUCUUUUAUAUUCGGAAUUAGGCACCGCCCCCCACCCCCUGCGUUUCUUGCUAUUAAUUUGGUUUCCUUGUAUGAGUCCCUUCCUCCCAAUAGACUCAGUGUGUCUCUAAGGAACAGGUCAGGCAUAUUCCCCCUCAGAAUACCACCAAAGCAGCCACCGCCGUGUUCACACAGAGCAAACAUUUAGUAACUUUGUUAUUAAUGAUUUGCGUAGUUGGCUUCCCUAAUGAUUUACAAACAAAAAAGAGAAGCGUGCCUUUUCCUGUCUCUCUUACUUGACCUCUAAGUUAAUAAAAUGAGUGACAGAGAGAUUGCAACUGUCGAGAAGUGAGGACCCCUUUUAGGAGUGUGCCAGGGGUGCUUGUCACGCCUUUCCCUCG
rnacentral:lncRNA from 1 species